CAGCAGCCUCGCAGCAGGUGUCUUGCAGCCUUUCCCAUUUGGACAAGGGGAAGGGAGGAGAGUCCUGCUAAUACUGUUGAAGUGCAAGUAGGAGGCUGUGGAACAGCGGGAACAUCUGGUUUUCAAGUUUCAGUAACUGAAGUAACACAUUCUCAAGAAGUCAAGCUCCAAGGGGCUGCUGGGUGUAAAUAUAUCCUGAAGAUUAGUAUUUAUAAUGUUGAGAUUUGGGCAGCAUCUCAUCAAGCCCUCUGUGGUCUUCCUGAAGACGGAGCUCUCCUUUGCUCUUGUGAACCGGAAGCCAGUCGUCCCAGGGCGUAUCCUUUCAACCAGAGCCUCAAUCAUGAGCGCGUAUGGGCCGUUCAGCGUUCUGUGGAAAAGUGGGAGAUACUCUGCACGUUCUGAAGGCCAGUAAGAUUGCAUACACUCUUUGAAAAUGCCCAUAGGAUAAGCUUGAAGCACGGUAUACCUGCAGCCAUUUCAGAUCACUUCAGGGAACUGUUCUACAAGACUUCUGGAAGAAGAACCCUAGUCCCUUCUGUGGAAUGAG
rnacentral:lncRNA from 1 species